CCGAUCCAUCUCACUGCCCAAGCGGGACAGGUUAUUUAUGUUCCCCUAGAUUCUGUCAGUGCCUUUGCCCCACUCUGCAGGAGUUACUCAGUGACCAGUGUUGGUUUUCAAUUUCCAGAGCAGAAGCAGGUCCUCCUGCUCUCCGAGGCUUCCUCCCCCUGAGGACCUGGCGCUUCCUUCCAUCCCACCUGGUACAGGACUCUGUCCAAGAUUUGGUACUGUGCAACUUUUGGCUCUUCCCUGAAGUCAAACUUGACCAUGAAAGGCAAACAUUUUGAGUUGAUUCAGGACACUGAGGCAGCCAUGAAGAGUGCAACUCAAGACAUGGAAGAAGAUGUCCAGAACUGCUUCAGGAAGUGGCAAGAACAGUGGGGUAAGUCUGUUUAAAGCAAGGGGGAGGAUUUUGAGGGAAGUUAAUGGCAAUGUGUCUUUUACUGUCAUAAAGGUUUUUAAAAAUUAGGUAUAACCUUAUUUUUAUCAUACCUUGUAACUCUGCUCUUUUCUCUUUUACUCAG
rnacentral:lncRNA from 1 species